rfam:Danio rerio chromosome 17, GRCz11 reference primary assembly.
GUUUCCGUAGUGUAAUGGUAAUCACGUUCGCUUCACACGUGAAAGGUCCCCAGUUGGAAACUGGGUGGAAAGA